UGCUCACUUCAGCAGCACAUAUAUUAAACUGGAAUGACCCAGAGAAGAUCAGCAUAUCCCUCAAAAUAAGGACACACAAAUUUGUGAAGCAUUCCAUAUUAAA